UUGACCUCGGAUCAGGUAGGGAUACCCGCUGAACUUAGCGGAGGAAAAGAAACCAACAGGGAUUGCCUCAGUAACGGCGAGUGAAGCGGCAAAAGCUCAAAUUUUAAAGCUGACAUCUUCGGUGUCCGCGUUGUAAUUUUGUGAGGCAUCUCCGGGUAGGGCGCUGGCCUAAGUUCCUUGGAACAGGACGUCACAGAGGGUGAGAAUCCCGUGCUUGGCUGGCUGUCCCCGUCCAUGUGAGGUGUCUUCGACGAGUCGAGUUGUUUGGGAAUGCAGCUCAAAAUGGGUGGUAAAUUUCAUCUAAAGCUAAAUAUUGGUGGGAGACCGAUAGCGCACAAGUAGAGUGAUCGAAAGAUGAAAAGCACUUUGAAAAUAGAGUUAAAAAGUACGUGAAAUUGUUGAAAGGGAAGCGCUUGAGACCAGACUUCGGUAAGGGGUGAUCAGCCGUCCUUUUGGGCGGUGCACUUGCCCCCCUCCGGGCCAGCAUCGGUUGAGGCGGCGGGAUAAAGGUCCCGGGAAUGUGGCUCCUUCACGGGAGUGUUAUAGCCCGGGUGAAUGCCGCCAGCUUCGACCGAGGACCGCACCCGC
rnacentral:rRNA from 1 species